UACGUAGGGGGCAAGCGUUGUCCGGAAUCAUUGGGCGUAAAGCGCGUGUCGGCGGCCAGGUAAGUCCGUUCUGAAAGCCCGGGGCUCAACCCCGGGAGGCGGAUGGAUACUGCUUGGCUCGAGUCCGGAAGAGGCGAGUGGAAUUCCCGGUGUAGCGGUGAAAUGCGCAGAUAUCGGGAGGAACACCAAUGGCGAAGGCAGCUCGCUGGGACGGUACUGACGCUGAGACGCGAAAGCGUGGGGAGCAAACAGG
rnacentral:rRNA from 1 species